rnacentral:snRNA from 1 species
GUGCUCACUUCAGCAGCACAUAUACUAAAAUUGGAAGGAUACAGAGAAGAUUAGCAUGGCCCCUGCACAAGGAUGACACGCAGAUUCGUGAAGCGUUCCAUAUUUAA